UACGUAGGCAGCGAGCGUUGUUCGGAGUUACUGGGCGUAAAGGGUGUGUAGGCGGUUGUUUAAGUUUGGUGUGAAAUCUCCCGGCUCAACUGGGAGGGUGCGCCGAAUACUGAAUGACUUCGAGUGCGGGAGAGGAGAGUGGAAUUCCUGGUGUAGCGGUGAAAUGCGUAGAUAUCGGGAGGAACACCAGUGGCGAAGGCGGCUUCCUGGACCGGUUCUGACACUGAGGAGCGAAAGCGUGGGGAGCGAUCCGG
rnacentral:rRNA from 1 species